CCUACGGGCGGCAGCAGUGGGGAAUAUUGGACAAUGGGGGGAACCCUGAUCCAGCCAUGCCGCGUGUGUGAAGAAGGCCCUCGGGUUGUAAAGCACUUUCAGUGAGGAAGAACGCCUGGUGGUUAAUACCCAUCAGGAAAGACAUCACUCACAGAAGAAGCACUGGCUAACUCCGUGCCAGCAGCCGCGGUAAUACGGAGGGUGCGAGCGUUAAUCGGAAUUACUGGGCGUAAAGCGCGCGUAGGUGGCUUGAUAAGCCGGUUGUGAAAGCCCCGGGCUCAACCUGGGAACGGCAUCCGGAACUGUCAAGCUAGAGUGCAGGAGAGGAAGGUAGAAUUCCCGGUGUAGCGGUGAAAUGCGUAGAGAUCGGGAGGAAUACCAGUGGCGAAGGCGGCCUUCUGGACUGACACUGACACUGAGGUGCGAAAGCGUGGGUAGCAAACAGGAUUAGAUACCCCGGUAGUC
rnacentral:rRNA from 1 species